rnacentral:rRNA from 1 species
GAGUUUGAUCCUGGCUCAGGAUAAAAGCUGGCGGCGCACAUAAGACAUGCAAGUCGAACGGACUUAAUUCAUUCUUUUAGAUUGGAAGCGGUUAGUGGCGGACUGGUGAGUAACGCGUGAGCAACCUGCCUAUUAGAGGGGAAUAACAGUGAGAAAUCAUUGCUAAUACCGCAUAUGCUUACACUAUUGCAUGAUAGAGUAAGGAAAGGAGCAAUCCGCUAAUAGAUGGGCUCGCGUCUGAUUAGCUAGUUGGUGGGGUAGAAGCCUACCAAGGCGACGAUCAGUAGCCGGACUGAGAGGUUGAACGGCCACAUUGGGACUGAGAUACGGCCCAGACUCCUACGGGAGGCAGCAGUCGGGAAUAUUGCGCAAUGGAGGGAACUCUGACGCAGUGACGCCGCGUAUAGGAAGAAGGUUUUCGGAUUGUAAACUAUUGUCGUUAGGGAAGAAAAAAGACAGUACCUAAGGAGGAAGCCCCGGCUAACUAUGUGCCAGCAGCCGCGGUAAUACAUAGGGGGCAAGCGUUAUCCGGAAUUAUUGGGUGUAAAGGGUGCGUAGACGGGUGUUUAAGUUGGUUGUGAAAUCCCUCGGCUCAACUGAGGAACUGCAACCAAAACUGGAUA